CGGGGGAAAGCGGGGGAUCUUCGGACCUCGUGCUAUCAGAUGAGCCCGCGUGAGAUUAGCUUGUUGGUGGGGUAAUGGCCUACCAAGGCGCCGAUCUCUAGCUGGUCUGAGAGGAUGAUCAGCCACACUGGGACUGAGACACGGCCCAGACUCCUACGGGAGGCAGCAGUGGGGAAUAUUGGACAAUGGGCGCAA
rnacentral:rRNA from 1 species